UUCGGGCGCCGGUGAGUGGCGAACGGGUGAGUAACACGUGGAGACCUAUCCAUUGGUGGGGGACAACAGCUGGAAACGGCUGCUAAUACCGCAUAAUCCCUACGGGGGAAAGAUUUAUCGCCAUAGGAGGGUUCCGCGUCGGAUUAGCUAGUUGGUGGGGUAACGGCCUACCAAGGCAACGAUCCGUAGCUGGUCUUAGAGGAUGAUCAGCCACACUGGGACUGAGACACGGCCCAGACUCCUACGGGAGGCAGCAGUGGGGAAUAUUGCGCAAUGGAGGAAACUCUGACGCAGCGAUGCCGCGUGGGUGAAGAAGGCCUUGGGGUUGUAAAGCCCUUUCAGUGGGAACGAUGGUGACGGUACCCACAGAAGAAGCCCCGGCUAACUCCGUGCCAGCAGCCGCGGUAAUACGGAGGGGGCGAGCGUUGUUCGGAAUUAUUGGGCGUAAAGCGCGCGUAGGCGGUUUAUUAAG
rnacentral:rRNA from 1 species